rnacentral:rRNA from 1 species
UUUUGCACAAUCGACGCAAGUCGGAUGCAGCAACGCCGCGUGGGGGAUGAAGGGUAUCGGGUUGUAAACCCCUUUUUCGAGGGAAGAAGAUCUGACGGUACCUUGCGAAUAAGUCACGGCUAACUACGUGCCAGCAGCCGCGGUAAUACGUAGGUGGCGAACGUUGUCCGGAUUCACUGGGCGUAAAGCGCGCGCAGGCGGAUUGAUAAGUCAGAGGUGAAAUCUCCCGGCUUAACUGGGAGGGGCCCUUUGAUACUGUCAGUCUUGAGGCACCUAGAGGAGAGUGGAAUUCCCGGUGUACUGGUGGAAUGCGUAGAUAUCGGGAGGAACACCAGGGCGAAACCGACUCUCUGGGCAGGACCUGACGCUGAGGCGCGAAG